rnacentral:rRNA from 1 species
UACGAAGGGGGCUAGCGUUGUUCGGAAUUACUGGGCGUAAAGCGCGCGCAGGCGGCCGUUCAAGUCAGGGGUGAAAUCCCAGAGCUCAACUCUGGAAUUGCCUUUGAGACUGUAUGGCUUCGAGUACGGAAGAGGUGAGUGGAAUUCCCAGUGUAGAGGUGAAAUUCGUAGAUAUUCGGAAGAACACCAGUGGCGAAGGCGGCUCACUGGCCCGGUACUGACGCUGAGGUGCGAAAGCGUGGGGAGCAAACAGG